CAGAGAUCCGUUUUGUGCCCAGUGAUAAGGCUACCUUGGAGCCCAUGUUCUCAGCCAUCUCUGAAUGCCAGGCCCUGCACCCUGACCCUGAAGACUCCGACUCUGACUUUGAGGGAGAUGAGUACGAUGUUGAAGAAGCUGAACAGGGUCAGAUAGACCUGCCCACAUUUUACA